AAAAAUUGUGCUUUUUCAUAUAAGGUAAUAUAAGAAAUUUAUACAGUACUCCCAUCGCCCCCAAAAAUACAUUUUUAUAUUUAGUAAUAAUUUAACUUUAAACUUGUUAUUUUACUUAAAUUUUUUAUUUUAUUUUAAUGAAAUAAUUUAUAAUUAUACAAGUAUUAUAGCUUGUUUUGGAUCAUAAAUUAUUGAGAUGAAAGAGCUUACAUGAUUGUACACUAUGUAUAUACACUGUAUAUUUAUUGUAUUCUCUGGUAUACACUGUAUGGGCUGUGAUGAUAUGUUUGUUAUUUGGGCCAAAUGUGUUACACAAGUCCAAUCUGUUUCAACCCCAUUAUUUUCAGUAUUGGGUCGUCCAUUGGGUUGUCUGACCCGACCCAAUGAUACAUGUAUAUAUAGCUGUUCCUCAGAUAUUUUACACUACGGAUUUCAUUUCAUUUUGUUUUCUGUUUAAUAAAAUUCUCUGGCUUUCAGAGUCUUCUCUCAGACGCUCCUCCUUCUCGUUAGAUUCUCUCUCUACAUUCUUCAUAAUUUUUCGAUUUAAUCUCAUUGUUUACAUACAUUUUAAUUUUUUAAGAACUCUAUGCUCAGCAAAACAUAAUUGAAACGAAGAGCGCACCUUUCAGCUCAAUUAUUUAAUAGUGGCAGCAAAUUGUGGACAAAAACUAUGUACUCAAGGAAACAUAAUACAUUAUGGCUAUUUCUAGAAUAAUUAGGAACAAGGAUUGUCCUCUAUUUAUAGAAAAUAUAUAAGCAUAACAUGUCACUGCUACAGUCAAAUCUCUCUUUAACAAAUUCGUUUGUUUAAAAUAUUUUUUGAAUAUUAUAGUAAAUUCUUGUCAUAGAAAAAAUAUAUUAUAUCAGAACAUAAAAUUUAGUUUUUAUAGUGAGGUACUAUUAUAUAAGAAUGUAAUUAUAGAUAGGUUUGAUUGUAGUUAAAGAAGGAAAGAACCAAGCAUAUACUCAAUAAACAGAUUAUGUAAGUGUUAUUCUUAUACUAGAAUCACAUAUAUAUAUAUAUAUAUAUAUAUAUAACUUGUAAUUUUUGAUAUUUCCUUAGUUAAAAUUUUGGCUCCGGCAUUUUAAGAAAAAAAAUUUUGAAAUUUACGGUCUAAAUAUGUUAUAAAUAUGUAUGUAACUACAAAUCAUUUCGUUAAGUCUAUCUAGUUAUAGAAACAUAUCUUUUUAAAAAUAAAUUAAAAGAAAAGUAUUUCACAUAAAGGAGUACUAACUAAGGAAGGAGGAGUUGUCUCUUUUUAUAGAGAACGCCACGGGUAAAAACUUAUUCAUACUGUAUUGGGUGUCUAUACCAAACUAAUAUUUUUAAAUUAAGUCGGUACUCUUAUUAAGUUAUAAUCAAUUAACGUAAAUUCAAAUUUCAACAGGUAAUUUUAACAGCAAGUUUGCCUGAAGCAAUUGAAGCUUUAACAAAAGGGGAUCCAAAAUUUGCUGAAGAUGGAAUGGUAGGUUCAUCUGGAGAUGCACAAGAAUGUGAAGAGAAUUUUAAGGGUAGUAAAUCACCAUUUUCUGCAUUAAACGUCGCCGUUCAUCAACUUUCUGAUGUUGGUAGAGCUAUUGUCAGAAAUUUAUUGUGAUAUAUAUAUAUAUAUAUAUAUAUAUAUAUAUAUAAUGUUGGUAGAGCUAUUGUCAGAAAUUUAUUGUGAUAUGUAUGUAUUGCUCUUGUACAAGUGUAACAAUAUUAUCGAUCAGAAAUUUAUUAUGAGGUACCUCUGUAUUCAAACGUGUAACACUCUUAUUCAAGUAGUAGUUCACGUUAGGGAUGUACAUAGGACGGGCCAGUUCGAAUUUCAUAAUUACCAAACCAAAUUAAUUGUGUCGAGUUAUUAAAUCUAAAUACUAAAUUAAACCAAUAAAAUUCGGAUUUUCCGCUCUCGGAUUGUUUCGGGUUUUUGGGUUA
rnacentral:lncRNA from 1 species